CGUACACUCCUACGGGAGGCAGCAGUGGGGAAUAUUGGACAAUGGGCGCAAGCCUGAUCCAGCCAUGCCGCGUGAGUGAUGAAGGCCCUAGGGUUGUAAAGCUCUUUCACCGGUGAAGAUAAUGACGGUAACCGGAGAAGAAGCCCCGGCUAACUUCGUGCCAGCAGCCGCGGUAAUACGAAGGGGGCUAGCGUUGUUCGGAUUUACUGGGCGUAAAGCGCACGUAGGCGGACUAUUAAGUCAGGGGUGAAAUCCCGGGGCUCAACCCCGGAACUGCCUUUGAUACUGGUAGUCUUGAGUUCGAGAGAGGUGAGUGGAAUUCCGAGUGUAGAGGUGAAAUUCGUAGAUAUUCGGAGGAACACCAGUGGCGAAGGCGGCUCACUGGCUCGAUACUGACGCUGAGGUGCGAAAGCGUGGGGAGCAAACAGGAUUAGAUACCCCGGUAGUCCCAUGA
rnacentral:rRNA from 1 species